UAAUUUUUAAUAACAUUAUAUAUUAUAAAUUAAUAUAUUAAAUUUAUUUCGACAGUGAUAAUAUAUAAAUAACACAAUACAUUUUAUUUGGUAAAAGUUUUUUAAGUUAAUUAAAAAUAAUUGGAAUUAUUAAAGUGUUAUGUGCAGAAUAUUACAAUUAUUUUUUAAUUCGUCAUUUUUUUACAUACAUUUUAAUUUGUAUAAAAAAUUAUCCUUUCUAUACUUUACAUUCAAAAAGUUAUAAUUUUUAUGGCAAUAAGAUUAUCAUAAUUUUAAGAAUUUAUAAUUCUAAAUCUACGGUUUAAACAAAAUAAUAUUUUAACAGAGCAAAGACAUUUUAUGUGGAACGAAACAAAAUUGUUUUCUUGAAAAUAAUUAAAUUAGCUUUUGCGCAGCAAUGUUAUACGUUCGUAAUUCGUUCAGCAACUGCAACGAAAUCGAAAAAAUGGUCGAACCGAUAAGCGCGUAAAGAAAAAAAAACAAAUAUAGCAACGGUUCGACAUUCGAUAAGCAACAAGCGAUGUUUCAAUCAGGAAGACGUUUGAUUGAACGGGAACGUAUUGAACACAUAGGCACAUUAUUGAUCUUUUUUAUGUACCUUUUGGCUAGCUAUUUUACCUGUGUUAGCCAGUUACAGAUUGUACAAUAUAGCCAAUUGACGAAUUAUUCUCUCUUCAUCAAAAUAUUCCCAAUCAGAAUACUGAUAGUACUUAUGAUAAAAAUUAAAUAUGCAAUCAUUAAUUGAACAAUAAAAUGUGCUAUAUCCAAUUUAUGAAUUCCUCAUCGCAGAAAGCGAAUGGCAAGCGUUAUUGUUUUCUGUACGAUACGAUACUCGUUAGUCGCAACAUGUGUGGCUCAUUAUUGCCGUUAUGAAGAUAAUAGGACCCGUUCUAAUGUGCAAAUAGCUGUUUGCGCAUGCAUAUUUCAUUACGGUAUUGCGGAGCCAGGUGACUCUAGGGAAAACCAUUAUUCAUUCGUCUUUUGUUUCACGGCAUUAUGUAAACAAGCGGAGGAAAAUGUUCGAAAAGUAUUAUUGAGAAAUAAUACUUUGAAUUAUAGGAAGAUCUCUGAAAGUUGAAAAACUGGAUGGGCGAUUGGUUAAGUAUCUAUUGAUAUAGAAGCUUUUGCUUGUGAAGCCGUUAGAUGAGGUAAUACAUAUAAUAUAUAAAUUUAUGUUCGUGUUGUGUAAACAAAAAUAUUUAUAAUGUAUAAAAAAGUAUAGAUCGUCAAAUAUGAUGUACAUAUGAUGCACAUAUUUAUUUACGAUAAAAUUUAUUUACAAAUAUUUUAAUUUACUUGUAAAUUUAUAUAGUGUAAGAACUUUUUUGUAUUUUUAUUUCUUUUUGCAGAAAUAAUAUUUAAAAAAGUAUAUAAAUAUUAUGCAGGAAUAAUAUAAAUAUUAAAAGUUUUGAAAUCAUGUAAAACAAUAUUUAUAAAUAAGAUUAUAAACAUUUCAAACAUUACGUUAGCGCAUUAGUUUUUCAAAAUAAAGUAUAUUAAUUUAACAAAAUAACAUACACAUUCUAUUCUCUUAAUAAAAAAAUUUGUGAAUGUGUCAUUCAUCGAUUUAUUCUGGCGGUUCAAAGUUUUUUUUCUUUUGCGAAAAUUGCGAAGAAAAAAUCGGAAAAUGCACGUGCGCGCGCGUGCGGCUUCGGCUACAGGGUCCAAUUGGCUGCAGUUUGAUACAGGGGAUGAGAAACGAGGAGAAUAGGGUAGGAGGAAGAAUGUGGAGGUGUAAUAUGUGGGGCGGUCGAUAGGGUAGCGGCUAUAUGUGCCGUUGAUACCGGAGGGUUUGCGUUACAGCACGUUUAAGCAUACACGCGGCCGCACGUACGGAGAAGUACAUUAAAAAAGAAAAACAAACAAAAAAGAGAACUCAAAAAAGCAAACUGUGCAAGACGCGUCCGCUUUAACGGCACGGAUAGUGUACGAUUUGCGCGUACGAGGAGCCUGCAAAAAUGGAAAUCAUGCAAAUCUGCCGGAAAAAACGAGCUUUUGCAGGGACGAUAUCAAGUCGCGAACUUCGCUACGCGCGGUAUCUUUUCUUUUUUCUACGUCGUUCGUUUCGGAAAAGUUUUCGUGCGCGAGAAAGAUUGCACUUUGAAAGAAGUUGAGGUCUUGGGAGUUUAAGUUCCGCGGAUGCGAGACUGACCCACGCAGUUUCUCCUCGCAACAGUCGAUGCGAGAAACAAAGAUUUCGGAUAUGUCCACGAAAAGUUUUCUACGGAGACCUCUUUGUAAAGGGAAACAAAUAUAAGUGUGUCAAGUACUUCAUUCUUUCUGUUUUACUCCAUUUACCAGCCCGUGGGAGUGAAAAAUGAUGACAAAUUGACAAAAGCAGAUAAAUUAUAAACAAAAUUGAAAGAGACAAAAAGAGCUCUUGUGCAACUGCGAAUAUUUUCUAGAAAUUGAAGUACGUUUUUAUUCAAUCUGCAAUAAGUUAAACGUUCCUUUUUUUUUACGACAGGCGGAGAACUUCUAUGUCAAAAUCCAAAGCAUAAUGGCAUUCUGAUUUUCAUUGACUACGAUUGUUACAAAUUGUCAAUCCAUGUUUCGUCACUGCAUUAUGCUUCUUAACAUACUGAUUAUAAAUGAUGACUAGGUGGACGAGCAAGGUGACUUCUGACAUAAUUAUUAGAUGGUCAAAAGUGCUUGUCUGGAAGUUGACGUUUAUGCGUGCUCACGUAAAAUGUGGAGGUGCUUGGCGUAACGUAUAUACAUUAAUGAUGUGCACAAGUAAAUAUGUAUAUCCGCUGAAAUCCAUAUGCAAAUACACACGGGCGCAAACUCGAACAAGUGUGACAAAUAAACGCGACGUGCGCAAUGAUACACAAUAUGUGCACGUGCACAACUUUUCGGUAUAGCUUUUCGGUGAUGAACGGCGUUAUCAACGUUAUUACACGGAACUCCCCGCCGCGUCGUUAUCAACGGUCAAACUCCAUUAAGCCAUCCGCUCGUUCGUCCGAUAUCUCUCCGGCGUAUACAUUCGGGGAAAUGUGCGUGGUAUAAACGGGGCUACAACGAGGAAUAAUGUUGCCCGUUUCCGCUUCAUUUAAUAUAAAGACUCUGCGAAACUUAUUGACGAAAUGAUGUUGUGCCAUCGAUUUGUAUUACACACAUAAAAAAAUUGAUCUUGCAAUUUCAACAAAAAUUAUAUGUUUGUAAAAAUGAGCUGAGGCAGAUUAGCAAAUACUGUGAUAUGUAUAUGUAUUGCACUUAAUCAAUCUAACUGACAGAAACAGAAUUUAUAAAUUCUAUACGUGACAGCCAUAAUUUUACACACAAAAAAAAAAAAGAUCUUGCAACUUCAACAAAAAUUAUAUGUGUGUAAAAUCUAGUUGAAAUAGAUACAAAAUUAACAAAUAUUGUGAUAUGUUUAUGUACUGGGCUUAAUCAAUCUAGCUAAUAGAAGCAGAAUUUUCAAAUUCUAUACGUGACAGCCAAAAUUCUAGCUGAUACAAAAAUUAGCGAUACAUUUUGGUUGUGACAUCAAGAAAUCUGUCUGUAUUAGCAAAACAUUUUUUCGGGUGUACUUUCCAAGUUCGAAAUCUUUUAUUGAUGAACAUCCUCGCAGUUAUAUAACUACAAAUAUAAUUCGAAAUUCUAUAAUUUUCGGUCGACGAAACAGACUUUAGUUUCGAUACGUCAGGCGUUAACAAUUUGGGAUGGCGGGUGUGAUAAUUUACAUUUUCCAUACAUCGCCGAUGAUCGUGCUUAAUGAAUAUGUCGAAACGCUCCGCUUGCACUUGACCUGGCCGUUAGCGCAACAUCUUCUGAGACAUGGGGAUGUACAGACUUUAUGUGGAGCAGAAAGGUCAAGGUUUAACCGCAUCGAAGAAAUUUCUCAAGAGCCUUCAGCUAUUCGAGGAUGAGUCCACGAGUGUGACGACGCGAAACUUGUCGGUUGAGAUCACUCGAUUAACGAAGACAAACGAUGCAACCAAUUCGGGAUAAAGCAUCUCGAGCGCUUUUCUUCCACUCCGCAUGCACACCGGAAACUUCUCUAUCACGCGGGCGGUGAUGCUGAAAAUUUUCCUGCUACAUUUCUCUUCACUUUCGUUUUAUUCGUCUCUACUACACGUACGAUUUCUUAUACGCGUAACAUUUCCGAAUUCUUGAUGUAAAUAAAUGCGAAUUUUAAAUAAAGGCGAUUUUUUUGACAGUUAAAAUUUUCGUUUCGAUACUAGAUUAACAAAAAGCAUCAUUUGUCACUGCUCCUUAAAUUUAUCAUAAACGUACUUUAUGAUAUAAAAAUUAUAUGAAUUAUCCAAAUAGCUUGAUUGUAUAUCCGUCAAAUAAACAGUAUGUAAUUCAA